rnacentral:rRNA from 1 species
UACGUAGGGUGCGAGCGUUAAUCGGAAUUACUGGGCGUAAAGCGUGCGCAGGCGGUUUUGUAAGACAGAUGUGAAAUCCCCGGGCUCAACCUGGGAAUGGCAUUUGGGACUGCAAGGCUGGAGUGCGGCAGAGGAGACUGGAAUUCCUGGUGUAGCAGUGAAAUGCGUAGAUAUCAGGAGGAAUACCGAUGGCGAAGGCAGGUCUCUGGGCUGACACUGACGCUCAUGCACGAAAGCGUGGGGAGCAAACAGG